rnacentral:rRNA from 1 species
GAAUAUUGGACAAAGGGGGGAACCCUGAUCCAGCCAUGCCGCGUGUGUGAAGAAGGCCUUUUGGUUGUUAAGCCCUUUAAGCGAGGAGGAUGCUACUCUUGUUAAUCCCUAGAGAUAGUUGACGGUACUCGCAGAAUAAGCCACGGCUAACUCUGUCCCAGCAGCCGCGGUAAUACAGAGGGUGCAGGCGUUAAUCGGAAUUACUGGGCGUAAAGCGCGCGUAGGUGGCCAAUUAAGUCAAAUGUGAAAUCCCCGAGCUUAACUUGGGAAUUGCAUUCGAUACUGGUUGGCUAGAGUAUGGGAGAGGAUGGUAGAAUUCCAGGUGUAGCGGUGAAAUGCGUAGAGAUCUGGAGGAAUACCGAUGGCGAAGGCAGCCAUCUGGCCUAAUACUGACACUGAGGUGCGAAAGCAUGGGGAGCAAAC